UACGGAGGGGGCUAGCGUUGUUCGGAAUUACUGGGCGUAAAGCGCACGUAGGUGGCAUGGUAAGUCGGAUGUGAAAUCCCGGGGCUCAACCCCGGAACUGCAUUCGAUACUGCUGCGCUAGAGUACUGGAGAGGAGAUUGGAAUUUACGGUGUAGCAGUGAAAUGCGUAGAUAUCGUAAGGAAGACCAGUGGCGAAGGCGGAUCUCUGGACAGUUACUGACACUGAGGCACGAAGGCCAGGGGAGCAAACGGG
rnacentral:rRNA from 1 species